rnacentral:lncRNA from 1 species
AAUAGAAAAUUGCAAAAACAACUUGACCCUUUUGUGUUCUUUGAGCCCAGUCACAAAGGCCCCUCGUGACUGGGCCUCACGCCAAACAGCUCGUUACAAAAAGAGCUAGGAUCCCAGACCACAUCGAAGCUUCAUGAGAUCUCUCCUUGUCUGUGCACAGACGGGUGGCCAACUCUGGAGCCCAGGCUGUUGCUUCCCGGUCUGGCAGUGAAUCCUCCAUAGCCUGAUGUCUAAAGUCAAGAAUAAAAACGAAAAUCAUGAUAGCUAGAACACUUAGGAAUGAUCCGCGACACCACAGCUUCUCUCCAAGCAGGCGGCCUGGGAUCCCGCUGCUCUGUCCCAUUGUGCUGCCAAUAUCUUCUGCCUGGAGACCUCACCGAGUUCAUGAGCCAGAGCACCUCUCCUCUUGCCCCCCGCCCCCCAUGUGGGAAUGAGCCUUCCCAGUGAUGCUGGGCAAAUUUACACUUAAAAUGUUGAUCAGCUAGGUGCAGGGGCUCACGCCUAUAAUCCCAGCAUGUUGGGAGGCCAAGGAGGGUGGAUCACUUGAGGCCAGGAGUUAGUUCAAGGCCAGCCUAGGCAACAUGUUGAAACCCUAUCUCUACCAAAAAUACAAAAAUUAGCCAGGCGUGGUGGCAUAUGACUGUAGUCCUAGCUACUCCGGAGGCUGAGACAUUAGAAUUGCUUGCACCCUGGAAACAGGUUGCAGUGAGCAAAGAUCACACCACUGCACUCAAGCCUGGGCAACAGAGUGAGACUCUGUCUCAAUAAAUAAAUAAAUAAAAUGUUAGAUACAGUUAGGUUUCCUCUUCAAACAGCUUAUCCAGUUUCCUCAUUCUCUAUCCUACAAUUCCAAAGACCCCCUUGCCUUUGCUGCACCGCAGCUUGUCUGAAUAUGCCUAGGCAUGCCUGAACUUGCUACAACCCCAGUCCACAUUUCUUUCCUUAUUAGGGAAUAGGUUACCCUCCUAGUCCCUCCGUAAAUGACCCCCCUUCUCUCCCUUCUCACCUCCCUUACGUGCCUACCUUAUCUAAGAAAGUUUAAAUGUUUAGCCAACUGGGACUAGUUUAGACUGUGCGGUCCAACCCUAGCCAAUAGGGGAAAGACACAGAAGCAGAAGCUGUGUUAGACAUAAUAAAAACCCCUGCUUUCCUUUGUUCUGUGUGCUUUCGCCAUUGCUUCACAUGUGAGAUGCACGUACCCUUCUGCCGAAGUAAAUUUGCCUUGCUGAGAGAUCCUUAGUCUCAGUGCUGGUUCUUCUUUGAGGCACCGAGCAUUUGUUUCCAAAAAAUAAAUAAAAUAAAAUAAAAUAUUGAUCAUCAAUACUUUCAGAGAGCAAGAUCUUGAUCCAAAGGAGGAAAUAAGAAAGAAAAGUGGCUCAGAGCAGCCUGAGGAAUGUGAGACCUGCAAACUUAUCAGGCCCAGAGAACAAUGAUGCCAGCAGCCGUGCCUAGGGUUCACUGUUCAAAGGCUUUUUCUUUCCUUCCCUGUAGUUUCCAGACUAGCUGACUGUCUAGACUUCCUAAAAGUUACCACAAAUUGUACAAUGUGAUCCUUAUCCAUGUCAAUGAAAAGAGUCAAAUUCUGUGAAAUAUGUUAAAGGGUUUAUUCUAAGCCAAAUAUGAGUGACCAUGGCCCAUAACACAGCCCUCAGGAGGUCCUGAGAACAUGUGCACAGGGUGGUCGGGGCACAUAUAGCUUGGUUUUAUAUAUUUUUAGGGAGACAUUAGACAUCAAUCAAAUAUAUUUAAGAGGGACUGGCACGGUGGCUCAUGCCUGUAAUCCCAGCACUUUGGGAGGCUGAGGCGGGUGGAUCACAAGGUCAGGAGUUCAAGAUCAGCCUGACCAACAUAGUGAAACCAUCUCUACUGAAAAUACAAAAAAUUA